rnacentral:rRNA from 1 species
UGGGGAAUAUUGGACAAUGGGGGAAACCCUGAUCCAGCCAUGCCGCGUGUGUGAAGAAGGCCUUCGGGUUGUAAAGCACUUUAAGCGGGGAGGAAGGGCUUGUGGUUAAUAACCGCAAGCAUUGACGUUACCCGCAGAAUAAGCACCGGCUAACUCUGUGCCAGCAGCCGCGGUAAUACAGAGGGUGCAAGCGUUAAUCGGAAUUACUGGGCGUAAAGCGCGCGUAGGCGGUUGUGUAAGUUGGAUGUGAAAGCCCCGGGCUCAACCUGGGAAUGGCAUUCAAAACUGCACGGCUAGAGUAUUGGAGAGGAAGGUAGAAUUCCAGGUGUAGCGGUGAAAUGCGUAGAGAUCUGGAGGAAUACCGAUGGCGAAGGCAGCCUUCUGGCCAAAUACUGACGCUGAGGUGCGAAAGCAUGGGGAGCAAACA